rnacentral:rRNA from 1 species
ACGGAAGGCAGCAGUGGGGAAUAUUGCACAAUGGGGGAAACCCUGAUGCAGCGAUGCCGCGUGGAGGAAGAAGGUUUUCGGAUUGUAAACUCCUGUCUUAAGGGACGAUAAUGACGGUACCUUGGGAGGAAGCUCCGGCUAACUACGUGCCAGCAGCCGCGGUAAUACGUAGGGAGCGAGCGUUGUCCGGAAUUACUGGGUGUAAAGGGAGCGUAGGCGGGAUGGCAAGUCAGAUGUGAAAACUAUGGGCUCAACCCAUAGACUGCAUUUGAAACUGUUGUUCUUGAGUGAAGUAGAGGUAAGCGGAAUUCCUAGUGUAGCGGUGAAAUGCGUAGAUAUUAGGAGGAACAUCGGUGGCGAAGGCGGCUUACUGGGCUUUUACUGACGCUGAGGCUCGAAAGCGUGGGGAGCAAACAGGAUUAGAUACCCUGGUA